rnacentral:lncRNA from 1 species
GCCAGAACAUGACUAGCAGAUCAGGAUGAGCCAUCAGGAUGCCAACCAGAAUCAAGAACUUUAGUGUGACAAUUUAGUCAAACCUGAAACCUGCCAAUAUCAUCAAUUAUAAGCUAUAGUGACAAUCAGAACUGAGCAUAUACUCAGUUUGGAGACUUAUAUAUUAAUUAAGAUAGGUUGUUGUGUUUUGUUCAACUUGUUUGUAUAUUAACAUUUAAAGAAGGGAAGAUGU